GAGAGUUUGAUCCUGGCUCAGGACGAACGCUGGCGGCGUGCUUAACACAUGCAAGUCGAACGGAGCUAUUUAUUUCGGUAAAUCGCUUAGUGGCAAACGGGUGAGUAACGCGUAGGCAACCUGCCCUCGGGAUGGGGACAACGGCUCGAAAGAGCCGCUAAUACCGAAUGACGUAUCUUUCUCACAUGGGGAGGAUACUAAAGAUGGGUCAAACCAUCGCCCGAGGAUGGGCCUGCGUCUGAUUAGCCAGUUGGUGAGGUAACGGCUCACCAAAGCAACGAUCAGUAGCCGGUCUGAGAGGAUGAACGGCCACAAUGGGACUGAGACACGGCCCAUACUCCUACGGGAGGCAGCAGUGGGGAAUCUUCCGCAAUGGGCGCAAGCCUGACGGAGCAACGCCGCGUGAGUGAAGAAGGUCUUCGGAUCGUAAAGCUCUGUUGUCGGGGACGAAAGAGUAGACGAGGCAAUGCGUCUAUUAAGACGGUACCCGACGAGGAAGCCACGGCUAACUACGUGCCAGCAGCCGCGGUAAUACGUAGGCGGCAAGCGUUGUCCGGAAUUAUUGGGCGUAAAGGGAGCGCAGGUGGGACGGUAAGUCUGUCUUAAAAGGCAAGGGCUCAGCCCCUGUAAGGGACAGAAACUAUCGUUCUUGAGUGCCGGAGAGGAAAGUGGAAUUCCUAGUGUAGCGGUGAAAUGCGUAGAUAUUAGGAGGAAUACCGGUGGCGAAGGCGACUUUCUGGACUUUUACUGACGCUCAGGUACGAAAGCGUGGGGAGCAAACAGGAUUAGAUACCCUGGUAGUCCGCGCAGUCAACGAUGUGCACUGGGCGUCCGCGCGAGCGCGUGGGUGCCGCAGCAAACGCGGUAAGUGCACCGCCUGGGGAGUAUGCCCGCAAGGGUGAAACUCAAAGGAAUUGACGGGGGCCCGCACAAGCGGUGGAGCAUGUGGUUUAAUUCGAUGGUACGCGAGGAACCUUACCUGGGCUUGACACGCGCGGGGAGCGCCGGGAGACCGGCGCGCGUGGAGACACGACCGCGCGCAGGUGCUGCAUGGCUGCCGUCAGCUCGUGCCGUGAGGUGUUGGGUUAAGUCCCGCAACGAGCGCAACCCCUACCGCCGGUUGCCAUCAGGUGAAGCUGGGCACUCGGGCGGAACUGCCCGCGACAAGCGGGAGGAAGGCGGGGACGACGUCAAGUCAUCAUGGCCCUUAUGUCCAGGGCUACACACGUGCUACAAUGGCCGGUACAGAGCGGGGCGAGGCCGCGAGGCGGAGCAGAGCGCUGAAAGCCGGCCGUAGUUCGGAUUGGAGUCUGAAACCCGACUCCAUGAAGCUGGAAUCGCUAGUAAUCGCGCAUCAGCACGGCGCGGUGAAUACGUUCCCGGGCCUUGUACACACCGCCCGUCACACCAUCCGAGUGGGGGGUACCCGAAGCCGGCAGUCCAACCGCGAGGGGGACGCUGUCGAAGGUACGUCCCGUGAGGGGGGUGAAGUCGUAACAAGGUAGUCGUACCGGAAGGUGCGGCUGGAACACCU
rnacentral:rRNA from 1 species